rnacentral:rRNA from 1 species
UACAGAGGGUGCGAGCGUUAAUCGGAAUUACUGGGCGUAAAGAGUUCGUAGGCGGCAUGAAAAGUAGGGUGUGAAAGCCCUCGGCUCAACCGAGGAAUUGCGCUCUAAACUGUCGUGCUCGAGGAAUCUAGAGGUGAGCGGUACUGAUGGUGGAGCGGUGAAAUGCGUUGAUAUCAUCAGGAACACCGGAGGCGAAGGCGGCUCACUGGGGAUUUUCUGACGCUGAGGAACGAAAGCCAGGGGAGCGAACGGG